AGCGAACGCUGGCGGCAGGCUUAACACAUGCAAGUCGAGCGGGCCUUUCGGGGUCAGCGGCGGACGGGUGAGUAACGCGUGGGAACGUGCCCUCUGGUUCGGAAUAACUCAGGGAAACUUGAGCUAAUACCGGAUACGCCCUUUUGGGGAAAGGCUUGCUGCAGGAGGAUCGGCCCGCGUCUGAUUAGCUAGUUGGUGAGGUAACGGCCCACCAAGGCGACGAUCAGUAGCUGGUCUGAGAGGAUGAGCAGCCACACUGGGACUGAGACACGGCCCAGACUCCUACGGGAGGCAGCAGGGGGGAAUAUUGGACAAUGGGCGCAAGCCUGAUCCAGCCAUGCCGCGUGAGUGAUGAAGGCCUUAGGGUUGUAAAGCUCUUUUAUCCGGGACGAUAAUGACGGUACCGGAGGAAUAAGCCCCGGCUAACUUCGUG
rnacentral:rRNA from 1 species